rnacentral:rRNA from 1 species
AAAGGAAUUGACGGGGGCCCGCACAAGCGGUGGAGCAUGUGGUUUAAUUCGAUGCAACGCGAAGAACCUUACCAGGUCUUGACAUCCUACGAAUACCUAGGAAACUAGGUAGUGCCGUUUUAGGAACGUAGAGACAGGUGGUGCAUGGUUGUCGUCAGCUCGUGUCGUGAGAUGUUGGGUUAAGUCCCGCAACGAGCGCAACCCUUGCUAUUAGUUGCUAACAGAAUAAGCUGAGCACUCUAAUGGGACUGCCUGUGACAAGCAGGAGGAAGGUGGGGAUGACGUCAAAUCAUCAUGCCCUUUAUGAUCUGGGCUACACACGUGCUACAAUGGGUGGUACAGAGAGCAGCGAGACAGCGAUGUGGAGCGAAUCUCAAAAAGCCAUUCUCAGUUCGGAUUGUAGUCUGCAACUCGACUACAUGAAGGCGGAAUCGCUAGUAAUCGCGAAUCAGCAUGUUGCGGUGAAUGCGUUCCCGGGCCUUGUACACACCGCCCGU